GCUUCCUUGGUGUAGUUGGUUAUCACGUCAGUCUCAUAUGAUUCAUAUGAAGACCUUACACAGGUAGAAAUCUGAAGGUCGCCAGUUCGAUCCUGGCAGGGAGCA